rnacentral:misc_RNA from 1 species
CCUUUCUAAGGAAACAAUUAUCAUCUUCAG